rnacentral:rRNA from 1 species
GACGAACGCUGGCGGCGUGCUUAACACAUGCAAGUCGAACGGAAAGGCCCUUCGGGGUACUCGAGUGGCGAACGGGUGAGUAACACGUGGGUGAUCUGCCCUGCACUUUGGGAUAAGCCUGGGAAACUGGGUCUAAUACCGAAUAGGACCACGCGCUUCAUGGUGUGUGGUGGAAAGCUUUUGCGGUGUGGGAUGGGCCCGCGGCCUAUCAGCUUGUUGGUGGGGUAAUGGCCUACCAAGACGACGACGGGUAGCCGGCCUGAGAGGGUGACCGGCCACACUGGGACUGAGAUACGGCCCAGACUCCUACGGGAGGCAGCAGUGGGGAAUAUUGCACAAUGGGCGCAAGCCUGAUGCAGCGACGCCGCGUGAGGGAUGACGGCCUUCGGGUUGUAAACCUCUUUCAAUAGGGACGAAGCGCAAGUGACGGUACCUAUAGAAGAAGCACCGGCCAACUACGUG